rnacentral:rRNA from 1 species
AUGGCGGGCACGGUGGUGAGCAUGGCGAGGUCCAUGCUGGGCGCUGUCAUCAGCGUGGCCGCCUCUGCCGCCGCCACGGAGAUGAGCCUUCUCAUCGGCGUCCGCAAGGACAUCUGGUUCAUAAAAGAUGAGCUCAAGACGAUGCAAGCAUUCCUAGCGGCCGCGGAGAGAAUGAAGAACAAAAACAUGCUACUGAAGGUGUGGGCAGAGCAAGUAAGAGAUCUAGCAUACGACAUCGAGGAUUGCCUUGAUGAGUUUAUGGUGCAUGUGGGAAGUCAGAGCCGGUCUCGACUGCUGCUUAAGCUGAAAGACCGCCAUCGAAUUGCCAGCCAAAUUCGUGAUCUCAAAGCAAGAGUAGAAGAGGUGAGCAUCAGGAACACACGCUAUAACUUGAUCACCGCCGAUUCCUCCAGCAGCAUUGAUGAUGUGAAUUCCUAUAUGGAAGAUAUUCGCAGCCACUCAGCUAGCAAUAUUGAUGAGGCAGAGCUUGUGGGCUUUGCUAAGGCUAAACUAGAGUUGAUUGAGAUGGUGGAUGUCAACUCUAGAGAUGGUAUUUGCAAGGUGAUAUGUGUUGUUGGCAUGGGUGGUUUAGGCAAGACUACUCUCGCAAGGAAGGCAUUUGAAAGUAAGGAAGACAUUAAGAACACAUUUUCUUGUUGUGCAUGGGUCACCGUCUCGCAGUCCUUUUCCAAGAUAGAGAUGCUCAAGGACAUGAUUAGGCAACUUUUGGGUACCGAUUCAAUGAAGAAAUGCUUGAAAGAUCUUGAAGGCAAGUCAUUGCAAGUAGAGCAUCUCUCCAGCUACCUUAGAGAAAAGCUGGAGGAUAAGAGAUACUUUAUUGUUCUUGAUGAUUUGUGGACCAUCGAUGCAUGGAAUUGGAUCAAAGAUAUUGCUUUUCCUAUUAGAAACAACAAAGGCAGCCGAAUAAUAGUAACAACACGAGAUGCUGGCUUGGCUGAGCAAUGCACUUCUGAAUCGCUUAUUUACCACCUUAAGCACCUGCAAAUAGAGGAUGCCACAGAUUUGCUACUAAGAAAGAGUGGAAAAAACACAUGA